UACGUAGGGGGCUAGCGUUAUCCGGAUUUAUUGGGUUUAAAGGGUGCGCAGGCGGCACGGCAAGCCGGCGGUCAAAUCGCGGGGCUCAACCCCGCCCAGCCGUCGGAACUGCCGGGCUAGAGUGGGCGGGAAGUGCGCGGAAUGCGUGGUGUAGCGGUGAAAUGCAUAGAUAUCACGCAGAACUCCGAUUGCGAAGGCAGCGCACCGGCGCCCUACUGACGCUCAGGCACGAAAGCGUGGGUAUCGAACAGG
rnacentral:rRNA from 1 species